rnacentral:rRNA from 4 species
GGGUUGUGAGGUUAAGCGACUAAGCGUACACGGUGGAUGCCCUGGCAGUCAGAGGCGAUGAAGGGCGUGCUAAUCUGCGAUAAGCGCCGGUAAGGUGAUAUGAACCGUUAUAACCGGCGAUACCCGAAUGGGGAAACCCAGUGUGAUUCGUCACACUAUCAUUAACUGAAUCCAUAGGUUAAUGAGGCGAACCGGGGGAACUGAAACAUCUAAGUACCCCGAGGAAAAGAAAUCAACCGAGAUUCCCCCAGUAGCGGCGAGCGAACGGGGAGGAGCCCAGAGCCUGAAUCAGCAUGUGUGUUAGUGGAAGCGUCUGGAAAGGCGCGCGAUACAGGGUGACAGCCCCGUACACAAAAGCGCAUAUGCUGUGAGCUCGAUGAGUAGGGCGGGACACGUGGUAUCCUGUCUGAAUAUGGGGGGACCAUCCUCCAAGGCUAAAUACUCCUGACUGACCGAUAGUGAACCAGUACCGUGAGGGAAAGGCGAAAAGAACCCCGGCGAGGGGAGUGAAAAAGAACCUGAAACCGUGUACGUACAAGCAGUGGGAGCCCCACCACUAAGCCAGUGGUGAACUCCACAUACGCAUCCUUUGCUGAGGAGACGGUUAACGGAGCGAAAGCGACGUUCAACCUCAAAAGAAGCAGAGGGGGCUUAGUGGUGGGGUGACUGCGUACCUUUUGUAUAAUGGGUCAGCGACUUAUAUUCUGUAGCAAGGUUAACUGUAUAGGGGAGCCGGAGGGAAACCGAGUCUUAACCGGGCGUUAAGUUGCAGGGUAUAGACCCGAAACCCGGUGAUCUAGCCAUGGGCAGGUUGAAGGUUGGGUAACACUAACUGGAGGACCGAACCGACUAAUGUUGAAAAAUUAGCGGAUGACCUGUGGCUGGGGGUGAAAGGCCAAUCAAACCGGGAGAUAGCUGGUUCUCCCCGAAAGCUAUUUAGGUAGCGCCUCGUGAAUUCAUCUCCGGGGGUAGAGCACUGUUUCGGCUAGGGGGCCAUCCCGGCUUACCAACCCGAUGCAAACUGCGAAUACCGGAGAAUGUUAUCACGGGAGACACACGGCGGGUGCUAAUGUCCGUCGUGAAGAGGGAAACAACCCAGACCGCCAGCUAAGGUCCCAAAGUCAUGGUUAAGUGGGAAACGAUGUGGGAAGGCCCAGACAGCCAGGAUGUUGGCUUAGAAGCAGCCAUCAUUUAAAGAAAGCGUAAUAGCUCACUGGUCGAGUCGGCCUGCGCGGAAGAUGUAACGGGGCUAAACCAUGCACCGAAGCUGCGGCAGCGACACCGUGUGUUGUUGGGUAGGGGAGCGUUCUGUAAGCCUGUGAAGGUGUGCUGUGAGGCAUGCUGGAGGUAUCAGAAGUGCGAAUGCUGACAUAAGUAACGAUAAAGCGGGUGAAAAGCCCGCUCGCCGGAAGACCAAGGGUUCCUGUCCAACGUUAAUCGGGGCAGGGUGAGUCGACCCCUAAGGCGAGGCCGAAAGGCGUAGUCGAUGGGAAACGGGUUAAUAUUCCCGUACUUGGUGUUACUGCGAAGGGGGGACGGAGAAGGCUAUGUUGGCCGGGCGACGGUUGUCCCGGUUUAAGCGUGUAGGUAUGUGUUCCAGGUAAAUCCGGUUCACUUUAACACUGAGGCGUGACGACGAGGCACUACGGUGCUGAAGCAACAAAUGCCCUGCUUCCAGGAAAAGCCUCUAAGCAUCAGGUAACAUCAAAUCGUACCCCAAACCGACACAGGUGGUCAGGUAGAGAAUACCAAGGCGCUUGAGAGAACUCGGGUGAAGGAACUAGGCAAAAUGGUGCCGUAACUUCGGGAGAAGGCACGCUGACACGUAGGUGAAGUGAUUUACUCACGGAGCUGAAGUCAGCCGAAGAUACCAGCUGGCUGCAACUGUUUAUUAAAAACACAGCACUGUGCAAACACGAAAGUGGACGUAUACGGUGUGACGCCUGCCCGGUGCCGGAAGGUUAAUUGAUGGGGUCAGCGCAAGCGAAGCUCCUGAUCGAAGCCCCGGUAAACGGCGGCCGUAACUAUAACGGUCCUAAGGUAGCGAAAUUCCUUGUCGGGUAAGUUCCGACCUGCACGAAUGGCGUAAUGAUGGCCAGGCUGUCUCCACCCGAGACUCAGUGAAAUUGAACUCGCUGUGAAGAUGCAGUGUACCCGCGGCAAGACGGAAAGACCCCGUGAACCUUUACUAUAGCUUGACACUGAACAUUGAGCCUUGAUGUGUAGGAUAGGUGGGAGGCUUUGAAGUGUGGACGCCAGUCUGCAUGG